CCAAUAGCGUAUAUUAAAGUUGUUGCAGUUAAAAAGCUCGUAGUUGAAUUUCGGGAUUGGCGUGUCGGUCGUGCCUUACGGGGUAUGAACUGGCGUCGUCGAUUUCUCACCUUCUGGAGAAUCACGAUGCCCUUAAUUGGGUGUCGUGUGGAACCAGGACCUUUACCUUGAAAAAAUUAGAGUGUUUAAAGCAGGCAUUUUUGCUCGAAUACAUUAGCAUGGAAUAAUAAAAUAGGACGGUUUGGUUCUAUUUUGUUGGUUUCUAGGAUCACCGUAAUGAUUAAUAGGGAUAGUUGGGGGCAUUAGUAUUCAAUUGUCAGAGGUGAAAUUCUUGGAUUUAUUGAAGACUAACUACUGCGAAAGCAUUUGCCAAGGAUGUUUUCAUUAAUCAAGAACGAAAGUUAGGGGAUCGAAGACGAUCAGAUACCGUCGUAGUCUUAACCAUAAACUAUGCCGACUAGGAAUCAGACGAUGUUAAUUUUUUAAUGACUCGUUUGGCACCUUACG
rnacentral:rRNA from 2 species